GAUGAACGCUAGCUACAGGCUUAAUACAUGCAAGUCGAGGGGAAACGACAUCGAAAGCUUGCUUUUGAUGGGCGUCGACCGGCGCACGGGUGAGUAACGCGUAUCCAACCUGCCCAUCACUUGGGAAUAACCAUGCGAAAGUAAGACUAAUACCCAAUGAUAUCCCACGAAGGCAUCGGAAUGGGAUUAAAGAUUUAUCGGUGAUGGAUGGGGAUGCGUCUGAUUAGCUUGUUGGCGGGGUAACGGCCCACCAAGGCAACGAUCAGUAGGGGUUCUGAGAGGAAGGUCCCCCACAUUGGAACUGAGACACGGUCCAAACUCCUACGGGAGGCAGCAGUGAGGAAUAUUGGUCAAUGGGCGAGAGCCUGAACCAGCCAAGUAGCGUGCAGGAAGACGGCCCUAUGGGUUGUAAACUGCUUUUAUAAGGGAAUAAAGUGGGUCACGUGUGACUUUUUGCAUGUACCUUAUGAAUAAGGACCGGCUAAUUCCGUG
rnacentral:rRNA from 1 species